GCGCGAAAACUUUACAAUGCUGGCAACAGCGAUAAGGGAACCUCGAGUGCCAGGUUACAAAUCUGGCUGUCGAGAUGCCUAAAAAAGCAUUUCAUAGCAAGGGCCGGGCAAGACCGGUGCCAGCCGCCGCGGUAACACCGGCGGCUCGAGUGGUAACCGUUAUUAUUGGGUCUAAAGGGUCUGUAGCCGGCCGGAUAAGUCUCUUGAGAAAUCUGGCAGCUUAACUGUCAGGCUUUCAGGAGAUACUGUCUGGCUCGAGGCCGGGAGAGGUGAGAGGUACUUCGAGGGGUAGGGUGAAAUCUUGUAAUCCUUGAAGGACCACCAGUGGCGAAGGCGUCUCACCAGAACGGACCUGACGGCAAGGGACGAAAGCUAGGGGCAGAACCGGAUUAGAGACCCC
rnacentral:rRNA from 1 species